rnacentral:rRNA from 1 species
AUUGACCUCGGAUCAGGUAGGGAUACCCGCUGAACUNAAGCAUUAGG